CUGGUUGAUCCUGACAGUAGUCAUAUGCUUGUCUCAAAAAUUAGGCCAUGCAUGUCUCAGUACAAGCCAAAUAAGGUGAAACCGCGAAGGGCUCAUUAAAUCAGUUAUGGCUCCUUAGAUGGUCCCCACAUUUACUUGGACAACUGUGGUAAUUCUAGAGCUAAUACAUGAAAACAGAGCUCCGACCGGAGACGGAAGGAGCGGUUUCGCCGUCAUCGUACAACUUGGUGAAUCUGAAUAACUUUCCGCAGAUCGCACGGUCUCGCACCGGCGACGCAUCUUUCAAAUGACUGCCUUACCGACUGUCGAUGAUAGGUUCUGCGCCUACCAUGGUUGUAACGGGUAACGGGGAAUCAGGGUUCGGUUCCGGAGAGGGAGCCUGAGAAACGGCUACCACAUCCCAGGAAUGUGGUAGCCAAGGAAUGCCAAAAACGCUUUCAUUGAUCAAGAACGAAAGUUAGAGGUUCGAAGGCGAUCGGAUACCGCCCUAGUUCUAACGAUAAACGAUGCCAGCUAGCGAUCCGCCGAUGUUCCUCCGAUGAUUCGGCGGGCAGCUUCCGGGAAACCCAAGCUUUUGGGUUCCG
rfam:Tribolium castaneum strain Georgia GA2 unplaced genomic scaffold scaffold_seqid644, whole genome shotgun sequence.